GGUGGGCAGCCGAGCGCAGCCUCCAGCGCCAGACGGGGGCGCCGGUUCCGCAAUCCACCGCGUGCGGGGCCGGGACUGUUUCGCUGGCGAGACUGCGCCGAGAUCUUUGGUUGCUUGAGCCUCAGGGAUUGCCAUCGGGUGGGGACGGUCACCGAAGGACACGGAGUCCCCUCACGGACUCUGGUGCUGCGCACCCGGUGGAGCGGCAUUGCUCUUUUCCCCGCUCCCUUACCUGGCCUCAGGUUCGCCAAACAUUUUCAUUUUGUAGCGUCUUUUCGACAGGCAUCCCAGAGAGAUAAGCCAUUCUACCUGAAAAACUGAGGAGAAUAAUGGAGAGCAUGGGAGGCUUCACAACACAGUAUACUUUUCUGCAUGCUGCUAAAGGUGUCCUACUUCCUCUGAGAGAAGGGAGAGUUAUGCUGGUAUAAUCAGUUGAAGAAAACCACGUCUUUGGGCAUGGGAUGAUUGUGCCUCUGACUUCAGAAAAAUCUAGGAACUUCAUCGACAUCAACUUUGUUCAAAUAAAGAUCACCAAGUGAAUAAGCACAAGUUCUGAAAUUCAGAUUGCUAAAUGUGUCCACCCAAGCACUAAAAUACUGGCUGGUGAUACCACCUUCCCAGAUCCUACAGAUUUCACAUACUAAGAGCCACUGUGACCUAAGUAUGCUGUCACAUGACAGCCAGCAAAGUGGCCUCUGCAGAUUUGUAAAUCUACCUACAGAUUUGUAAUUUAACCAUACCUACCUCUCAUUAAUUCAUCGUUGCCCUUCCUUCCUCUGGCAGUUCUAAUAUCCCUUCAUGUACUCCUUGCCAAAAUAAUAUACCUGGUUUUCUCUCCAUGUGCUUUUUCCUACUUGACUUUUCUUUUAGGCCCUAAACAGAAUUUUCUUAAGCUUUUCUCUCCUUUCCCAUCCAUAUUCAAACCACUUGGUAGUAAUUCUCUAUUGUCACAAACUAUGGUUUCCUUUUCCUUCAAAAUAUAAUCUAAAUCCUUAAACGAACACGAGGACAAUAAAUACAGUACAACAUUGCUCCUAUUAAGAAGUAAGUGGGGGGACUUCCCUGGUGGUACAGUGGUUAAGAAUCUGCUUGCCAAUGCAGGGGUCAUGGGUUCAAUCCUUGGUCCAGAAAGAUCCCACAUGCUGUGGAGCAACUAAGUCUGUGUGCCACAACUACUGAGCGCGUGUACCACAACUACUAAACCCCGCACACCCUAGAGCCCAUGCACCACAACUACUGAAGCCCACACGCUCUAGGGCCCACAUGCUGCAACUACUGAAGCCCGCAUGCCUAGAUCCCAUGCUCUGCAACAAGAGAAGCCACCACAAUGAGAAACCCAUGCACCGCAAAGAAGAGUAGCCCCCUGCUCUCCAGAACUAGAGAAAGCCCAUGCACAGGGACGAAGACCCA